GAAAAUAUUGAUUCAUCAAAAUAGACCACACUUAGUCUUUUGCACUCCUGGGCAAAAUCAAGACGCAAAUCAGGGAAUAGUUCAACGGACAUCAGGGAAUUGACACAGACUCAACACACAGAAAACAAAGACUGACAAGGAAAGAAACAGAAUUACACAAUUCUCAAGAAAUCUGGACGAUGGAAGGAAGUAGACAAUAUCCAACAUAGAAUCAGAGAAAACAGAUACUCACAGAAAUCAUCCAAGC
rnacentral:lncRNA from 1 species